rnacentral:rRNA from 1 species
CCUACGGGAGGCAGCAGUGAGGAAUAUUGGUCAAUGGGCGCGAGCCUGAACCAGCCAAGUCGCGUGAGGGAAGACGGUCCUAUGGAUUGUAAACCUCUUUUGCCGGGGAGCAAAAGACGCCACGCGUGGCGUUCCGAGAGUACCCGAAGAAAAAGCAUCGGCUAACUCAGUGCCAGCAGCCGCGGUAAUACGGAGGAUGCGAGCGUUAUCCGGAUUUAUUGGGCUGAAAGGGUGAGCAGGCGGAAGAACAAGUAAGCGGAAAAAUUGAGAGGCACAACCUCUUCGAGCCGUUGAAACUGGUGUUCUUGAGUCGGCGAGAAGUGUACGGAAUGCGGGGUGGAGCGGUGAAAUGCAGAGAUAUCACGGAGAACUGCGAUUGC